CGCGUAGGUGGUUGUGUAAGUCAGGUGUGAAAUCCCCCGGCUCAACCGGGGAACUGCACAUGAUACUGCAUGGCUGGAGUACAGGAGAGGGAAACGGAAUUCCCGGUGUAGAGGUGAAAUUCGUAGAUAUCGGGAGGAACACCGGUGGCGAAGGCGGUUUCCUGGCCUGAUACUGACGCUGAGGCGCGAAAGCGUGGGUAGCAAACAGGAUUAGAUACCCUGGUAGUCCACGCCGUAAACGGUGAGUACUGGGUGUGGGAGGUGUAAUGCCUUCUGUGCCGAAGCUAACGCGUUAAGUACUCCGCCUGGGGAGUACGGCCGCAAGGUUGAA
rnacentral:rRNA from 1 species